GAAUUAUCUAGAAACAGGGACAACCAUCCAUUUUCUGUUUUGAAAGAUGCUAAUUUCCUAAAUUUAAGGGAGGCUGACAGAUUUCCUCAACCUCUCUCUCAUUCCUAUCAUCUUGCACUCUCACAUUCUAUAAAAAAAGACUCAUACUCCCUUAUUCACACACUUUUUCACUCAGCAUAUUUCUCUCAAAUACACUCAAGAACACACACUAAUUCUCUGCAAGACACACAAAAAGCACUCACACAUAUAGGUUGAUUUUACCUGAAGUUUAAUUCUUCAAAAGCAAAAAAAAAAAGGAACAGAAGUAAUUUGGCUUCAGAAUUAUAAGCACAUUGGUUGUUUGUGUAAAGGCGAGAAGCAUCACAUUGCAAUCGAAAGCAUUUGGAAGUUCAACAUAUAUGUGAUUCACUUGUUUAUGCUUUGGAUGUUUGAGAUUAAGUUGUCUGAUUCCAAAAGACAUGAGAAGAAGCGGUUUAAUUUUGGUAACACCUAGUUCUAGUAUAUAUGAAGGAUGGUUGUUUAUUGUAAACUCAGAAUUUGCAAAAACAAUUGAGUAUAAUAGCUUAAGUCUAUAGUUUUAUGUGCUGUCUUAAGUUUGCAUUUUGCUCCCUGUUUUGAAUUUUGGACUCUAGUGCUUCUCAAAUUGAACAUUGAGGUAAUGGUUUGUUUGAGCUAA